rnacentral:rRNA from 1 species
GACGAACGCUGGCGGCGUGCUUAACACAUGCAAGUCGUACGGUAAGGCCCUUUCGGGGGUACACGAGUGGCGAACGGGUGAGUAACACGUGAGUAACCUGCCCACAACUUUGGGAUAACGCUAGGAAACUGGUGCUAAUACUGGAUAUGUGCUCCUGCUGCAUGGUGGGGGUUGGAAAGCUCCGGCGGUUGUGGAUGGACUCGCGGCCUAUCAGCUUGUUGGUGGGGUAGUGGCCUACCAAGGCGGCGACGGAUAGCCGGCCUGAGAGGGUGACCGGCCACAUUGGGACUGAGAUACGGCCCAGACUCCUACGGGAGGCAGCAGUGGGGAAUAUUGCACAAUGGGCGCAAGCCUGAUGCAGCAACGCCGCGUGCGGGAUGACGGCCUUCGGGUUGUAAACCGCUUUCAGCAGGGACGAAGCUUUUUGUGACGGUACCUGCAGAAGAAGCACCGGCUAACUACGUG